CAUACACACAGCACAGAUUUUUUUGAUUAUGUAGAUUUUUUUCCCCCUCUACUGCAGUUUCAUAUGCAAAGCAUGCAUCAGCCACAUCCAUGCUAUCUCCUAAAGCAGUCAUUCUGAAACCCAAUCUGGGGACAGUGCAGACUAAAUAAAAUUUCAUUUUGAUUUGGCCUCCUGCUGCGAAUGGGACUGCUUUGUUUCAGCCGACAGAAUCAGCAAGCCAGAAAGCAGUUGCUGUCUGUGGAACUCAACCUCCGUAUUCUCCCCUUCAACUUCAUCUUGCUUCUUCCAGCUGGAAAAAAGGAAAAGUGCUAAUACUGAGCCUGAAUUCACUGUCACAGAGGAUAAGAGCAGGGAAAGGCAUUAUGAGGUUUCUUGAUGAUAGAAGCAAAAGCACUUGGAAUAGCCCUGAUCCAGGGUAGCGGCUGUCAUCAUGGCUCUGGCAUCUCCGACCAAACUUAUUCUUCUCCUGAAAAAAUGAAAACUAAAGCAAGUUUUAAAAUGGCAUUCUGGUCUCAUUAAAAAAAAAAAAAACAACUGACUGGCCAAAGCAGAUGUGUAACUGAAUAUACAUAUUUCAACAUAUCGUAUGGGUAGCAGUCACUUUUAAGCUGGAUUUUGUAAACAUGAGUGGUUGAAAGCAGGGAUCCCCUGGUUAAUGCAUACUCAUCUUUGCAAAUCCUUCAAAUACAUUUAUUUUCUUCUAAAAAAAAAAGAAGUAAGCAUCUAGUAUUUCCCUCAACAUUUCAG
rnacentral:lncRNA from 1 species